rnacentral:rRNA from 1 species
UUACGGGAGGCAGCAGUGGGGAAUUUUGCGCAAUGGGCGAAAGCCUGACGCAGCAACGCCGCGUGUGUGAUGAAGGUCUUCGGAUUGUAAAGCACUUUCGACCGGGACGAAAACCCGCUGGCCAAUAUCCAGCGACUUGACGGUACCGGGAGAAGAAGCACCGGCUAACUCUGUGCCAGCAGCCGCGGUAAUACAGAGGGUGCAAGCGUUGUUCGGAAUUAUUGGGCGUAAAGCGCGUGUAGGCGGCUUUGCAAGUCGGGUGUGAAAGCCCUCGGCUCAACCGAGGAAGUGCGCCCGAAACUGCAGAGCUUGAGUACCGGAGAGGAUGGCGGAAUUCCCCAAGUAGAGGUGAAAUUCGUAGAUAUGGGGAGGAACACCGGUGGCGAAGGCGGCCAUCUGGACGGAUACUGACGCUGAGACGCGAAAGCGUGGGGAGCAAACAGGAUUAGAUACCCCUGUAGUCC